GAGCCACAAAUCGCCCCGGCUCCUGGGAGGGCCCGAGCACAAGAAACCCUUCCAAAGCCAAUGACUGAGCUGUGGCUUCCUUCCUUAGGGGGCUGAGAAAGCCACAACAGCCACGCCCCCCUGUUACUACCGAAAGGGUCUUUGGUCAAAGUCAAGUCUAAUCCCCUGACUGACAGAUAGGGGAGCCUGAGUCCCAGAGAGGUUUAAGAUUAUUUGGGGAGCAGUAAUGAAGGUGGAUGGGACAGCUAAGUGGGGCAGUGGCUAGAAUGCCUAGCCUGGAGUCAGGAAGACUUGAGUUCAAAUCCAGACUCACUCGUGUCCUAACUGUGUGACCCUGGGCAACUAAGUCUCUUUGCCUCAGUUUCCUCCUCUGACAAAUGAACUGGAGAAAGAAUGGCAAACCACUUCAGAGAGGGAAGGUACUCCCCAAGGGCAGCUCUCCAAAAGGAGGUCUUAUCAACCAGAAAAGCCUCCUUUCAAAAGAACACCGUGCACUCGAUCUGGAUGGAGACAGAAUGGCUAAGCUAGCUGACCCCCUGCCCUUGUCCCUAUGGCCUCCACUGCAUUGUGAUGGCUAGGAACAAACCGGCCUGUCCCUACAGAAAAGAUAAUGAACACAGAGAUAUGGAGGGCAGAGAGAGGACACUAAAAGCCAUGGAGGGAGAACACUUGAGCUGAGCCUUAGGGAGGAACAGCUCAGAAUCAGAGAAUCUGGGCCCAAACAGGCCUCAGUUGGCAUUCAGUUCAACCUGUAGGCAAAAGAAAUCUCCUCCCUCAAGGAAGAAGACCCCUCCACUUCCUGAGGCAGACCACUCCACUGUGGAAGGGCUGUCAGUGGGGAAGCUUGUGCAGUAAACGUGAAAAGAGGAGGCUCAAGGCACAUAGUGGAGGGGUUUGAAGGUUCAUUCAUGAGGACUCAGAGAAGUAGUCCAGGGGCUUCACCAGUCUGCCCAAAGGCGAUGCUCAUUAAUUCGUGCUGAAUAUUUAACUAGCAGAGGAGAGGAUUCUGAGAAGAAGGCCACCAGAGAAAAGGCUGAGAGUAUAGAGUCCUGCCAAACAAGGACAGGAAGAAGAGAAUGCCCCAGGGACCUCUUCCCAUAGAAGCAGGACAUGACUGUGAUGAGAGCAAGUCCUGCACGCACAUUCACAGGUACAUGCUCAAGACAUGGCUGCCCAUGGCAGGCACAGAGUUGUCCAGUAUAUGGAAUAGUCUGAAACCUUCAAUUCUUGGCUUAUAGCAUCAUGCAGAGAGGAGAUAUAAGAGUAUAAGGGUUAGUACCAGGGAGCAGUGAUGGCGGCAGCUGGCCUGAGACUUUCACCAUUCAAGGAAGGGGGGAGGGGGGGCAUGAAAGGACAACUCACAUCUUGGCCAGAACAUAGCCCACGAUCUUCCCAUUCUCAUCUUCAGCAAUGUAAGAGAGCUUCGGGGAAGUAGGGAGAUGAUGGAGAAGAAAAGAGAACAGAAAAAGAAUAAAUAAAAACCUCUUCUCAUCCCAAACCCCACAUUCCUGCCCACUUUAGAGAACCAGAGAACAUCAGACCGGGAAGGGUCAUGGGCUAGAUUAGAGUUGGGAAGAACCCCAGAAAUCAACUAGUCUACUGACUCCUCUUUAUUUUACAAAUAAGAAAAUCCCUUGAGUCCUAGAGAGGGAAAGUGACUAGCCCAGGGACACACUGAGUGACAGAAGGGGAGCUCGGGAGGGCCUUUGAAACAGACCAGUAACAGAUCUCUCUCUCUCCCUCCCUUCUUCCUUCCCUCCCCCUGGAUCCCAAGCCAUUCCCCGAUAAAGCCCCAGCCCCUUCCCCGUUCCCCAAACACACCUGAGGCCAUGACAGACCGUGGUAGAAAUAGUAUUUCAUCUGAUAGUUUUCUGGAAGGCACAGCAGGUUACAAUGCUGCAUAUUCAUCAGGUCCUCUGGCUGGGGGUGGGGAAAGAGUGUUAACCCCCGAGCUCGGGGGAUCUCGGGCACCAGCCCCAGCAUGGGACCGGAGACUGUGCGAUGGGGUGGAGAAUGGGGUGCUAUGGGCACAACAAUAGAGAAGACUCAUGGGACGGGGGACAAGGGGAAGAAACAGGAAGAACUUCUGGCUCAAAGGAGAGAGCCCCGGACUGGGGGAGGCCACUCGGCCAUCGCCGCACCCUACCUCACCUGAAAGCUGGGUCCCGGCCCCCCACCCCCAAAGAAAAGUCCCCCCACCGAGGCUCUCCAAAUAACGCAUGCGCACGUUCGCAGGCUCCACAACCACGCGGCCAGCGUCCUUUUCCUCCUUGCUUUCCGCCCGGCUCCUGACUUCUGCCCCUCUCUUACCCGUGCGUUGCGGAUGUUCAUGGCGCCGACACUUAAGCGGGCCUAGCAGAGCUGAAGAGGGGAGAAAAGUAACGACUGCACCCCGAGCAGCAACCGACAAA